rnacentral:rRNA from 1 species
CCCGCCGGACCUGACUGCUAUCGGAUUGAUACUAAGCCAUGCGAGUCUUUGUAGUAAUACAAGGCAUACGGCUCAGUAACACGUAGUCAACCUACCCUAUGGACGAGAAUAAUCUCGGGAAACUGAGCAUAAUUCUCGAUAGAUCAUAAUGCCUGGAAUGGUUUACGGUUAAAAUGAUUCGUCGCCAUAGGAUGGGACUGCGGCCUAUCAGCUUGUUGGUGAGGUAAUGGCCCACCAAGGCGAUUACAGGUACGGGCUCUGAGAGGAGAAGCCCGGAGAUGGGUACUGAGACACGGACCCAGGCCCUAUGGGGCGCAGCAGGCGAGAAAACUUUGCAAUGUGCGAAAGCACGACAAGGUUAAUCCGAGUGAUUUCUGCUAAAGAAAUCUUUUGCCAGUCAUAAAACCACUGGUGAAUAAGGGGUGGGCAAGUUCUGGUGUCAGCCGCCGCGGUAAAACCAGCACCUCAAGUGGUCAGGAUGAUUAUUGGGCCUAAAGCAUCCGUAGCCGGCUUUGUAAGUUUUCGGUUAAAUCCAUGUGCUCAACGCAUGGGCUGCCGAAAAUACUGCAUGGCUAGGGAGUGGGAGAGGUAGACGGUACUCAGUAGGAAGGGGUAAAAUCCUUUGAUCUAUUGAUGACCACCUGUGGCGAAGGCGGUCUACCAGAACACGUUCGACGGUGAGGGAUGAAAGCUGGGGGAGCAAACCGGAUUAGAUACCCGGGUAGUCCCAGCUGUAAACGAUGCAGACUCGAUGAUGCAUUGGCAUAAUAGCCAAUGCAGUGUCGCAGAAAGCCGUUAAGUCUGCCGCCUGGGAAGUACGUACGCAAGUAUGAAACUUAA